AUGGUAAAGUGGGCGGAUAUUUGCAUGCCUAAGGACCGUGGUGGCUUGGGCAUCACUGCCUCCUGCCGUAUGAACGUUGCGCUCAUGUUGAGAUGGGUCUGGCGGAUCUUACGCGGCGAGGGAGGACUAUCGCUACAGCUCAUUCAGGCGAAAUACCUUAGGGGUGAACCGCUCAGGCAUGCAACCGGACGGAGGGCUCACAAUUCUGGCGAGCCAUCCAAAGGAUCAAGGAGGACAUCCGCCUAG
rnacentral:rRNA from 1 species